CAUGGCUCAGAUUGAACGCUGGCGGCAGGCCUAACACAUGCAAGUCGAGCGGUAACAGAAAGUAGCUUGCUACUUUGCUGACGAGCGGCGGACGGGUGAGUAAUGCUUGGGAACAUGCCUUGAGGUGGGGGACAACAGUUGGAAACGACUGCUAAUACCGCAUAAUGUCUACGGACCAAAGGGGGCUUCGGCUCUCGCCUUUAGAUUGGCCCAAGUGGGAUUAGCUAGUUGGUGAGGUAAUGGCUCACCAAGGCGACGAUCCCUAGCUGGUUUGAGAGGAUGAUCAGCCACACUGGGACUGAGACACGGCCCAGACUCCUACGGGAGGCAGCAGUGGGGAAUAUUGCACAAUGGGCGCAAGCCUGAUGCAGCCAUGCCGCGUGUGUGAAGAAGGCCUUCGGGUUGUAAAGCACUUUCAGUCAGGAGGAAAGGUUAGUAGUUAAUACCUGCUAGCUGUGACGUUACUGACAGAAGAAGCACCGGCUAACUCCGUGCCAGCAGCCGCGGUAAUACGGAGGGUGCGAGCGUUAAUCGGAAUUACUGGGCGUAAAGCGUACGCAGGCGGUUUGUUAAGCGAGAUGUGAAAGCCCCGGGCUCAACCUGGGAACUGCAUUUCGAACUGGCAAACUAGAGUGUGAUAGAGGGUGGUAGAAUUUCAGGUGUAGCGGUGAAAUGCGUAGAGAUCUGAAGGAAUACCGAUGGCGAAGGCAGCCACCUGGGUCAACACUGACGCUCAUGUACGAAAGCGUGGGGAGCAAACGGGAUUAGAUACCCCGGUAGUCCACGCCGUAAACGAUGUCUACUAGAAGCUCGGAGCCUCGGUUCUGUUUUUCAAAGCUAACGCAUUAAGUAGACCGCC
rnacentral:rRNA from 1 species